rnacentral:rRNA from 1 species
UACAGAGGGUGCGAGCGUUAAUCGGAAUUACUGGGCGUAAAGCGUGCGUAGACGGUAGCGUAAGUCAGAUGUGAAAGCCCCGGGCUCAACCUGGGAAUUGCAUUUGAGACUGCUCUGCUCGGGUGCGGAAGAGGGAAGCGGAAUUUCCGGUGUAGCGGUGAAAUGCGUAGAUAUCGGAAGGAACACCGGUGGCGAAAGCAGCUUCCUGGUCCGACACCGACGUUCAGGCACGAAAGCGUGGGGAGCAAACAGG